rnacentral:lncRNA from 1 species
AGAUAAACAUAGUAAUUUUAAACUAAAAAGAUAUAUCAAUUAAAUAUACAUAUUGCAAAAGUAGUUCAAUCACAAAGGAAAUCUCAUCAUCUAAUACAACAAUGUAUUCAUAUAUGCCAACAUACUAGUAAUCAACGAUACUUAGGGACAACAUAUAAUAGUAAUUUCGAAAUUAAAGAUUCAGACUCGAAAUACAUCUAUAUGAUAAAAUAAAUUCAUAACGAAGUAAUAUAAUAAAAAAAAAUACUAACUCAUAUAUAUUUUCUGCUUCUUUUCUUUAUACAAUAUAACAUUGCGAGAAAGAACAAAAAUUCCUACUUGGUAAUUUUUUAUAUCUCAUGAUCUUCUAGAAAAAGAAUUAUUAUGUGACAUGGAAAAUAAAAUUCCAAUAUGUAUGAU